CCCCCCAUGGGGCAAUUUGCAGUGCUGGUCCCUCCAGCUCGCAGCUCGCUGCCGCUUCUCCCCUCCAGCUUUUGCAGAGCUCUUGGCGCGGUGCCCGGCAGCCCUUCACUGCUGCCUUUUCAUUCCCCUUAAUUCACUGCCUUUCCUUGCAAGGAACAGAGGGAGAGCUUGUUCCAGCAGACGGGCCCCAUCCGCUCCUCCCGUCCGAGGGCUGGGAAGAAGGGAUGGAGGCGAAGGGAACUCUCCCACCCCUCCGGGGCCCCGCGGGCGCGCUGCUUCCCAGAAAAUACGGUAAAAAGCCUUCAGCCUAAAAAUAACUGCAGCCCGUGGCUGCCCAAGGCUGAGGAACCAGCCCCUCGGGGCUCACUUAGAGAUGUCAACGUGUGGCCAUUGGCCGGUCUCUCUGAUGGGCAGAAGUCAUCUGGCGAGGUGCUGAUCCUCCUAUAGUGUUUGCAAGAUCUUUAAGAAGAAUUGCAUGGCCGAUGUCGUUGCGUUUGAGUUGUGCUAGAAUACCCUGACCAUCAGAGGACUUGGAUUUUAUGACAGAAGAGAUCAGCACUGCAAAGACAUGGCGAUGUUGUUCACAUUGCCUGGACCUGAGCCCAGGGUCCGGGACCAGACCUGUCUCAUACCCACACCUUAGAAGACAGCGCCGUGUUCGUGUUUUCUUUUUGCAGGCUGAAAGCUUUCCUGGACCUGCUGAACACUUCUGCUGUAAUCUGUCGUGGCUGUCAGGGUGCCAAGAGACAUGCCAGACCCUGGGCCACAAUAGUGGAACAGACAUGCCCAGAGCUGAAAGCUGGCACAAGAUUUCUCUUUAUCGAGUAAACACAUAGAAGUCAACAACAGAUGGAGCAUCACAUGGAGUUACGCAGACAGGUGUUGACUAGCUGGUGGUGUUCCAAGAAAGGACGGUCCCAUCUGGUCAUGGGGAGAGCUGUGAUGGUGCGAAAAGAAGAGAGUGAUCACCAUGGACAAAGAGCAUCCCACGAACUCAUGUCAGAGAAGAGUUUUUGUCUUGGAGGUGGAGGGCUCAGUCGGUGGGAGAAGUAGGGCUACUUCUACGUGGGGUGUGGAUGGAGAAGUUUGAGGUAAAAUGAGGCUGGAUGGUUGGAGAAACACCAGCUAACAUUGGGUGUGGACUUGAUUACAGCAUAGAAUUGCCUCUGAGGGGAGGGGGUGAGGGGCUGCCUCACGUAGGGGAGAAAUAUAUGAUAGCAGUGGGUUGGAAAGCUGAGAUUUGGGCAAAUUUGAAUGAAAAAAAGAAGCACCUUUUAGCUGACAGAUGAUUAGGAUGCACUUGAAGGACAGCAGCGUGUCUUCCCCCACACCAAACCCUGUGUGCCACCUUGGCAGUCCACGGAGGCACCUUGAGCUGACCUAUCCGGUCCGUUCUGCUGGAGGAGGGGACAAGCAGGCCCCAGCUUCCAUCAGCUGCUCUGGGUUUGCAGUUAGGGUAGAUAAAUCCUUAUACUUACAAAGCAAGGCUGCCCGCGUGCCAAGUUGAGCACUGAAUCAGAAGAUGAGCUCCCUGGGGGGGUAAUCGGUAUCUUUCAUAAACUGCAAUUGGUCAGAGGAGAUGGGGAUUUUCCUGGCUCCAGCCCACGCACCCCUGCCCAUGCUGUGUGAGACGUGCAGGGCAAUUUACCUAUCGAUAGCUCACAGUGCUGGGCAAAUAUUUGUCUUAUCGUGGGUUUAGCAGUGAUAGCUAAAGGGCAGCGGCAAAACAAAGCCCAGGAAAGACCCAACUCUGAUCCAGUGCAGCUGGGAAAGCUGGAGGCUUUCCAGUCUGUGGGUGCUCAGCGUGUCCCUGCCCGGAAGGGGCUGCGGGGGGGAGCUGGGCUCAGCACUGCAGUGACAUUUGGAGAGAGCAGGAGGUCACAGAGCUGGAAGCAAACACAGGCAGUGACUGUCCUGCAGUGCACAGCCAGAGAGCUGCCUCUGCAGAGAGAAAACACAGGCAAGCACGCCUGAAACCUGUGCUUUGCUUCACUGCGCUUUCCUCCCAUAAAAAGUCUUUUAAAAAGUAUGAGUAAAUCUUUUUCCUAAAUCCUGUUCUCUUCCCUUCCCCUUCUCGUUCCCCUUCUCCCCCCUUCUCGUUCCCCUUCCCUUCCCUUCCCUUCCCUUCCCUUCCCUUCCCUUCCCUUCCCUUCCCUUCCCUUCCCUUCCCUUCCCUUCCCUUCCCUUCCCUUCCCUUCCCUUCCCUUCCCUUCCCUUCCCUUCCCUUCCCUUCCCUUCCCUUCCCUUCCCUUCCCUUCCCUUCCCUUCCCUUCCCUUCCCUUCCCUUCCCUUCCCUUCCCUUCCCUUCCCUUCCCUUCCCCUUCCCCUUCCCUAUGAAGAAACGGAAGGAGAACCCAUGGAGACAAUGUGAGACAUCCCCAGAAUGAAUCCAGAUGUGCUGCUCUGUCUGUAACCCAGUGCUGUAAGGAGGACUGAGAUCUGCUGCACUGCAAGCCUGGAUAAAGAUACCCACCAUGGAUCUUCUCCCUGGACUCCUGACCCCAACUGCUCACCUUCCUCCUUCUGCCCUGGGCUAACUUCUCCUCGACUUCUGCUUUGGUUGAAAAGAGGCUGGGGUAAAAAAAGGGGGAAGGGGAGCCUGAAGGUGCAGUGAAAUUUGGUUUUUCAGCUUUAUUGCAUAAGGAAGCCCUGACAGCUUUUAACACCAUUGUCACUUGCAGGAAGAAAAGUUGUUGGCAGUUUGUGGGGGUCUCCUUUGGCUUUAGAUGGAGCAGAAGAAUGCACUAUCACUUCUGCUAUAGGCUGUGCUUAGCAGUGGAGCAAGGCAUUGCCCUAGCACCAGCAGCGCUCUGAAUUCAUCUCCACACUCCAUGUUUUCCUUCACUAAGUCUAAUGAGGGCUGCAGGCUGCUAGGGAGGCACGCAGCAAUAAAGACUGAAAACAGUACGCAGGACUUCCAGCUGCAAACUGUGUGUGACCCAGGACCUGACUUGACUUGGCUUGUGUGGGGAUCCUCUUCCCAAUAUCUGAUUCACCCUCAUACUGUAUGUAGCAUCAUGGUUUUUGUCAGCAUUCCAUAUCAUAGCAUCAUGUCAUACGUUCUCAGUACUGGGGCUGCUGGGGUUGUAAUUCCUGGUUUCCUUAUGGUGUGAUGUUAUGAUAUGGAAUAUCGAUGGACAGUACCCUGGACGUGCUCCAUAGGCAUAGGGGGACCCAGGGUGAAAGCCCACCCAAGGACCGCAGACAAGGGCACCCAUAAUAACUAGAGGGUAGCUGGAGAAGCAGCACCAUUGGGUGUAUCAGCUGUGUGUAACCUCCAGCAGCAUCAUACAAGAAAUGUUUGGCCUGACCCAAAGCCCACUGGAGAAAAUAAGGAGAAGCAUCACUUCCAGGAACAGCAUGGAUGUGGUGCAAUCAGGGAGAAAGGCAAGAAAAGCUGUGCAAGCAUUUGCCUAACGUUCUUCUGGGAGAUAAUAAUUGCCAAACAGCACUUGUUCCCUCCCUUUAUCCCACUCUGUCCUUCAGGGACAUCUGUUCCAAAGGGAAGAACCUGAUAAUUAUGGAUUGGGUCCUCCGAUGGAGGCUGGAUAUGGCCCCAAGGCAGCCAGCCUCCCUGUGCACAGUGCUCAUGCUGGGAAUGCAGCCUGUGAGUGGUUCAAUUAAAAGGUUUCUCAGCAAUGACACCAGCAGAGGCACAAGAAGCAGACAACCUAUUCACAGACCAAUUAGUUUUAUGAAUAAAUGUGUGCAGGACAGUGAGCCCAUCGGCUGAGCGAGCCAUGCCGGAGUGCUGAGCAGCACUGGGAAAUAUUCUAUUGGGAAGUUUUAAAUGCCAGUCUCCGUGCAUGGAUGGGGCUGCGUGGCUUUCCAUCAGCUCAAGCUUGCCCCUGCUGAUCCUUCAAUUCACGCUGUCUUCUCCCCAUAUAUGCCAUUCUCAUGGGCUUGGUGGGGGCAAACGCUUCGCAUGCAUGUUUUACCCAGCUCCAUCAUGUCAUCCUUCCCUUCGUGGCCAGAAUGGGCCAUGAACUCCCAUUUCUUCCCAUCAGACUGGGUUGCCUUGCAAAGGGCCCAGCCCCUCUCACCCUAUUUGAGGACCUGGGGGUUCACUGGGGCCAGCACCACUGGGCUCCAGCCUCCUGCAGCCCCAACAUAGGCCAGGUGGGUGUCAGAGCAGCUCCAAUCCCAGUAGGCGUUUAGUGUCAUUUAUACCAAGGCUAAUUACAUCUUAACAUUUUCCCUCUGUAUUUUGGUAUUUAUUUUGGAAAAGCUCCUCCCUGGAGUCACUUUCUUCCCCAGCUCUACAACAACAACAAUAACAGCAGUGCACUGCCUUUUCCCUUGGCUCCUUCCCUCAUUAUUAUAGCUCUGCCAUGCUGUUCCAGUACAGUCAGCAGAGGAAUUCAAUCAGGCUGAUGAGUAAAAGUGCAUAAUUUUAUGGCUGCAUAUCAACUGCUUGUUAUUAAACUAAUCAAUCAGCUUCAGUGCAGCUACCGGUAAAGCACGGGAGAGGGCAAAGUGAAAGAAUUGCUAUGCUGUUCUUUUUCCAAAAGGACAAAAAGACAAUUCCAAUCUGGCCAGUCGAAUUCUUCGGCUUGUACUUCUCUGCUGUAAGAAAUGCUUUGCCUGAGUUAUGGAUCGGUUGACCUGCAGCACAGUAAUGAUGGAGCUGGUGCUGCCCUUGUGCUCACCUCCAGCACUAAGCCCUAACAUGGCAACCUGCUGCAGGGAACCAGCUUUAGUAGGAGGUUGGCAUAGAUCAUCUCCAGAGGUCCCAUCCAACCUCUACAAUACUGUGAUUCUGUGAUUUGCCAUGCCCCAAAGCCCAGGAAAGUCACCAGGUACUCCCACCAUAUCUCAUCUUCUCAGGAAGAGUGGUAAUGCAUUGGAACAGGCUUUGGGGAAGUGGUGGAGUCAUCAUUCCUGAAGGUUUUCAAGGAACAUGGAGAUGUGGCACUGAGGGACAUAGUUAGUGGGCAUGAUGGGGAAGGGUUGGGAUUGGACUUGAUGAUUUUAGAGGCCUUCUCCAGCCUUCAUGAUUCUAUGAUUCUGAAGGUCUGUCCUCCAUGCCCACAAGAGCACAGCAAGUAAGGAAUUGCAUCACACAAAGAGAAACCUGGGCUACACAUCAGGUGUAACUUCCUACAGGAGAAGGGUGAGCAGCCAUUGGGACACACUGCCAGGAGGCACUGGAGGUCCUGGAACAAGCACUAUGUGCUUCUUCUAUAGCAACAUUGGGGUUGGUGUUGGUGAGGUUCUGCUUGUGGCUAGAGAUAGUUAUGAUGGAGUUGGAGGUCCCUCACAGCUCUAGGGGAGAGAGAGACUCAUCCUCUUUGCCAUCCAAGAGGAGGAGAAGGUGUAACAGGGCUUGGAACCUCAAAGCCAGACAGUGGGAUCUUUUGUGUUAAUGGACGUGGG
ensembl:lncRNA